rnacentral:rRNA from 1 species
UGGAGAGUUUGAUCCUGGCUCAGAUUGAACGCUGGCGGCAGGCCUAACACAUGCAAGUCGAACGGUAACAGGAAGCAGCUUGCUGCUUUGCUGACGAGUGGCGGACGGGUGAGUAAUGUCUGGGAAACUGCCUGAUGGAGGGGGAUAACUACUGGAAACGGUAGCUAAUACCGCAUAACGUCGCAAGACCAAAGAGGGGGACCUUCGGGCCUCUUGCCAUCAGAUGUGCCCAGAUGGGAUUAGCUAGUAGGUGGGGUAACGGCUCACCUAGGCGACGAUCCCUAGCUGGUCUGAGAGGAUGACCAGCCACACUGGAACUGAGACACGGUCCAGACUCCUACGGGAGGCAGCAGUGGGGAAUAUUGCACAAUGGGCGCAAGCCUGAUGCAGCCAUGCCGCGUGUAUGAAGAAGGCCUUCGGGUUGUAAAGUACUUUCAGCGGGGAGGAAGGCGAUGUGGUUAAUAACCGCGUCGAUUGACGUUACCCGCAGAAGAAGCACCGGCUAACUCCGUGCCAGCAGCCGCGGUA